rnacentral:tRNA from 1 species
AAGGGAGACCUAAUUCGGGUAUAAGACGAAAAAAGAGUAGUCGAAACCAAGAAUCAAUCCCAAAAGGUCGGAACGAGGUAUGUGGCUUUCAAACUAGGUUCUGGAUUCACACAAGACCUGAAUCAGGAACAAGGGCUAUUAGCUCAGGUGGUUAGAGCGCACCCCUGAUAAGGGUGAGGUCCCUGGUUCGAGUCCAGGAUGGCCCACCUGCACAGGUGGCAAAAACAAAGAAGCGAGGAAUCAGCACCUUAUCUUAUCUAUAUAUAAGAGAGAAUGCUGGCUCUGAGUAAAGAGUCCAGAGGAACCUUGAAAACUGCAUAGAGCUAGGUGAAAAAGCCAAAAAAGAAGACCGCAA